rnacentral:lncRNA from 1 species
UUUUUUUCACCUUUUUUGUUUUCUCUAGGUUUUGGAGAAAAAAUAGUGAACUCUUUUGUGCGCGGAAAAAGAUUGUGCUUCCAUGAGAAGCAGAGAUAUUGAUUUGCUUCUUGUGAAUGCAUAGAUUUGCUUCUCCGACGAAAAAAUUGUGCUUCCAUAAGAAGCACAGAUUUGCUUUCGCGAGAAGUAUGGUUGUGCUUUUCUAGAAAAAAAAAGUGCUACCACACGAAUCACAAUUUUGAUUUCGCGAAAAGCACAAUUGCGCUUCUUGGAAAGGUGAACAGAUUGUGCUUCCAUGAAAAGCAUAUAUUUACUUCUCAUGGAGGCAUAGAUUUGCUUCUGUGGGAAGUACAUCUCUGUGCUUCUCGAAAAGGUAAAAAAGAAAAUGAGAUUUGUGCUUCUCGUGGAGGCACAGAUUUACUUCCGCAAGAAGUACAAAAAGGGAAAAUGGUAAAAAAAAAAAGAGCUUUUAGCUCCGGGUGUUUUCUUUUGCAUUUUCUUGUUAAAAAAACAUUUUGCCGAAACCUAUUAACAUGGGAUCUUUUGAGUAUCUCGGCGCAAGAAAUUCAAUGAUGAAAAUGGUUCAGGAUUUAGACGUACGGUUCAAUAGAAAACGUUUUUAAUAAACGGAUAUGAAAAAAAGAAAAAACUCCCAGGUUGUGACGCCUGAGAAGAUGGGAGUGACCUUUUCAAGGGUAACCCUUAACUAGUGAUUUUGCUUUUUCGAUGAGUAAUUCUCCUCCGGUUGUUCUUGGUUCCUUCUUUAUGUAACUUCAGAUAUAUAAAUAUAUAUAUAGACACACAUAAGUACCACUUCAACCGCACCCGUAUCCAUCCCCUCUUGUUAGGGUUAGACAUACUCUCCGCAGCACCAAGCGGCGCUGAGGGAGUCCUGGAUUAGGGGGUCUCCGAACAGCCGUACUAUCUCCAUUGGCCGGACUGUUAGACUAUGAAGAUACAAGAUUGAAGACUUCGUCUCGUGUCCGGAUGGGACUCUACUUGGCGUGGAUGGCAAACUAGGCAAUACGGAUAUGGAUAUCUCCUCCUUUGUAACCGACCUUGUGUAACCCUAACUCUCUCCGGUGUCUAUAUAAACCGAAGGGUUUUAGUCCGUAGCACAACAACCACAACAUACAAUCAUACCAUAGGCUAGCUUCUAGGGUUUAGCCUCUCUGAUCUUGUGGUAGAUCUACUCUUGUACUAUCCAUAUCAUCAAUAUCAAUCAAGCAGGACGUAGGGUUUUACCUCCAUCAAGAGGGCCCGAACCUGGGUAAAACAUUGUGUCCCCUGCCUCCUGUUACCAUCCGGCCUAGACGCACAGUUCGGGACCCCCUACCCGAGAUCCGCCGGUUUUGACACCGACAUUGGUGCUUUCAUUGAGAGUUCCUCUGUGCCGUCGCCCUUAGGCUUGAUGGCUCCUACUAUCAUCGAUAGCGAUGCGGUCCAAGGCAAGACUUUUCUUCCCGGACAGAUCUUCGUAUUCGGCGGCUUUGCACUGCAGGCUAAUUCACUUGACCAUCUGGAGCAGAUUGAAAGCUACGCCCUUGGCCGUCAGGUCAGAUUUGGAAGUUUGGACUAUACGGCCGACAUCCGCAGAGAUUUGAUCUUUGACGGAUUCGAGCCACAGCCGGGCGCGCCGCACUGUCACAACGGGUAUGACCUAGCUCUGCCGCCGAACAGUACCCCAGAGGCCGCGCCCGCAUCAGCUCUAACUCUUAGCUCAGAGCCAACUGCGCCAAUCGAGGACGGGUGGCUAGACACCGCCUCAGGGGCUGCAGUCUCAAUGGCGAUCGAGCCGAACACCAACCUAAUCCUCUGCGAAGCCCGUGACUCCAAGGUGCCGGACUCUUUUCCGGACUCCUAACCGUCCGCGCCCCUGCCAAUCGAAUCCGAUUGGGCGUCGAUCAUGGAAUUCACCGCCGUGGAUAUCUUUCAGCACUCGCCCUUCGGCGACAUUCUGAAUUCACUAAGGUCUCUCUCUUUGUUAGGAGAGCCCUUGCCGGACCAUGGCCAACAGGAUUGGGAUGCGGACGACGAAGAAAUUCGACGCCCACCCACCACCCACUUCGUAGCCACUAUCGAUGAUUUAACCGACAUGCUUGACUUCGACUCCGAAGACAUCACUGUAUGGACGAGAUGUAGGAGACGAACAUGAACCAGCGCCUAUAGGGCACUGGAAAGACAUCUCGUCAUAUGACAUAUACAUGAUGGAUACACCCAAAGAAGGCAAUGGCGAUGAGAUAGCGGAGGAUGACCCCUCCAAGAAGCAACCCAAGGGCCAACGUCAGCGGCGCCGCUCUAGGUCCCGCCAAAGCAAAAGUGGUGAUACCGGCACAGGAGAUAAUAACACUCCGGAUAGUGCCAAAGACAACAACAUUCCCCUCCAGUAAGAUUCAGAGCAGGAGGAUGGAGGAGCCAACUCUCCUGAGAGAGCGGCAGAUGGAGAGGAGGAGGAUGACAAUUACAUGCCCCCCCUCCGAAGACGAGGCAAGCCUCGGCGACGAUGAAUUCGCCGUACCAGAGGAUCCCGUCGAACAAGAGCGCUUCAAGCGCCGGCUUAUGGCCACGGCAAAUGGCCACGGCAAGGAUACGGCAGUCAAUGCUGGAUUCAAAGGCUCUAAACCCGGUCAGCGGAAAAAGACAUUCAAACAAAGUACGCCGGGUCCGUCCAGCUUGGACCGUAUACUCGAUCGCUCAUGUCAAAUACACGGAACCCCAGACAAACCAAUCAAUCACACCAACAGGGAUUGUUGGGUGUUCAAGCAGGCCGGCAAGUUAAUUGCCGAAAACAAGGACAAGGGGCCGCAUAGCGAUGACGAGGAGGAGCCCCGGCAGCCGCACACCAGAGGACGAAAGAGGUUGCCCCUACAAGUGCGGAUGGUGAACAUGAUAUACGCAACCCACUUCCCCAAGAGGGAGCGGAAGCGUGCACUCAUGACGUAUAUGUGUUGGAGCCAGUAGCCCCAAAAUUGAACCCUUGGUCCUCCUGUCCGAUCACCUUCGAUCACAGGGACCAUCCCACUAGUAUCCGUCAUGGCGGAUUUGCCGCACUGGUCCUAGACCCAAUCAUUGACGGAUUCCACCUCACUCGAGUCCUUAUGGAUGGCGGCAGCAGACUAAACCUGCUUUAUCAGGACACAGUGCACAAAAUGGGUAUAGACCCCUCAAGGAUCAAACCCACAAAAACGACCUUUAAAGGCGUCAUUCCAGGUGUGGAGGCUUAUUGCACAGGCUCAAUUACACUGGAAGUGGUCUUCGGAUCCUCGAAUAAUUUCCGAAGCGAAGAGUUAAUCUUCGAUAUAGUCCCGUUCCGCAGUGGUUAUCACGCGCUGCUCGGGCGAACCGCAUUUGCUAGAUUCAAUGUGGUACCGCAUUAUGCAUACCUCAAGCUCAAGAUGCCAGGACCUCAUGGAGUUAUUACAGUCAAUGGAAACACAGAGCGCUCUCUCCGAACAGAGGAGCACACCGCAGCCCUCGCAGCAGAAGCGCAAAGCAGCCUCUCAAGGCAAUCAACCAGUUCGGCGCUUCAAAGCCCGGACACCUUCAAGCACGCUCGGGGCAAUCGGCAAAUAGACCGCCUGGAGUGAUCUGAGCUCGCGUAGCAAUACGGCGGCCACCCCAAUCCCAGCCCAACGGCGAAACUCAUGCCGCGCGUACAUAAUUACGCAUUAAAAAUACCAUAGGCACAGGUGGGGAGGGGGCACAACUGCGGCACGCCCCAAGACGCGGCUUAAACCGCACUAGGGGCUUCCCGUUUGGUUAUUUUUCUUUUUUUCAGGACCUUAAUCUUUGGAAACAAUGUCCGGCAGCACUAUUGCCGAACAUAAGAUGCAGCAACCAAGGAGGCAGACAGCUACGUCAUACCACGGAAUUCCCAGGUUGAUUACAGUAACGAGCGAAAUAUUCGAUUUAAUAUCAUUCCUCAGCUUGCCCUUGGAAGGGACAUAGUCCUACUCUUUGCUUAUCGCACUAUCUGUAUCACUCUGCUUUAACGCAAUUUUUUAAUAAACAAUGCAUGACAUUAUGACUAUUAUUGCAUUCUUGUUAUAUAUAUAUAUAUGUGUGUGUGUGUGUGUGUGUGUGUGUGUGUGUGUGUUCAUUAAUGACACUUUGCAAUCGUACACCUUGGUACGGCUAAUACACCAGGGGCUUACGUACCUCACAAUACGGUGUGAAAAGUCCGAACACUUUCACAAGUGCGGCACCCCGAACUUAUACCAUUAUAUGCAUCAGCUCCGAAUCAUGUCUUUGGUCAAAUGUUGGGUUUGCCCGGCUCCUAUGUUUUGGUACCUUACGUUCCGCUCUAUCAACUAAUGUAGCACUAGGAGAACUACUGCGAUUGUGCCCCGGUUCUGCUGGGUUCCGCACCUCAAUAAAGAAAGCUAAAACUGACUCAUGAUAAGGCGAGAGACUGGUCGCUGUUCGGCGAGGUUUUCGAGUCCCUAAAGACUUAUGCCGCUUAGAGCGAGGGGCCGGCCCUGUCCGGCUUAAAGGCGUGUAUCGCGCCCCAAAUUCGGCCUUCUGAAUACCAGGGGCUUCACCGAAAUUUAAAAUUAUAGAAUUCUAUGGCUAAGUGAGAGUGAUAAAGCAUUAUUAGUCCGAUUGCCUUGUUCGCUGUGCUGAGCACCUCCCUCGAAGGACCCAAACAUGGGAACAAGAGUGCUCAGGUUUAUCCCGAACACCUUAGCACUCGUGGCAUGGGGGCAGAAGCCGAGGACUAGCCAUCUCUCAGAUUGGAUAAACAGCCAAACAGAAGGUAAUAUUUUAAAUUCAAACAAGCGUUGCAAAGCGCAUAUGAAACAAGUUUUCAUAAAUACAGGAUAAAACGAGCAAGUCUCACUCAAAUAUUACAUCUUUGGAACACUCGUCCGCUAUGAGACGGGCACCCGGCCGAACACCAUCGUAGUACAUCUCGGGAUGGCGAUGCUCCUUGCCCUCCGGCGGCCCCUCCUUGAUCAGCUUCACGGCGUCCAGCUUGACCCACUGCAAUUUCACACGGGCGAAAGCCCGACGUGCACCUUCAAUGUAGACAGAUCGCUUGACGACCUUCAGCCGCGGGCAGGCAUCCACAAGCCGCCUCACCAGGCCGAAGAGGCUGUUCGGAAGGGUGUCGCCAGGCCACAUCUGGACUAUAAAGCUCUUCAUGGCCCGAUCGGCCACCUUAUGUAGCUCGACCAUCUACUUCAGCUGGUCGCUCAUUGGCACCGGGUGUUCAGCCUCAGCAUACUGAGACCAGAACAGCUUCUCCGUUGAGCAUCCAUCCUCAGCCUGGUAAAAUUGUGCGGCAUCGGACACGUUGCAGGGCAAAUCUGCAAAUGCUCCUGGAGAGCUCCGGAUUCGGGUAAGUAAUCGGUAAUUUACUUUUACAUGGUUGCUUUGCAUAUAGAAAGCCUUACCCGCCGCUAUCUUCUUCAUUGCGUCGAUCUCCUGGAGGGCCUUUUGGGCUUCAGCCUUGGCACUUCUUGCGCUGUUGAGGGCCGCGGCAAGCUCAGACUCCCGCGUCUUUGAGUCAAGUUCCAAUGCCUCGUGCUUCGCCACGAGAGUCUGGAGCUCUUCCUGCACCUCGCCCACCCGAGCCUCGUGCUUCUCUCGCUCGGUGCACUCCUUGGCCGUGUUAUUUUCGGCCUUGGUUAGCGCUUGCUUCAGGGUCGCCACCACGGUCGUGGCCCCUGGUAAAUAUACGUUGAUCCUGUCAUUUUGCAAUCGCGUCUUCUUUUAUAUAUACAUAUCUAUAGGCAGGGUAUUACUUACCCUUGUUCUCCUCGAGCUGCCACUUGGCAAGGCCGAGCUCUUUCCUGGACAGCUCGAGGUCCUGCUUCAGUACGGCGACCUCCGCAGUCAGUGCGGCGGACGCCAACAGCGAAGCCUGCAUAUGCAUAUUGACAUACUUAUAUUAGACUCACGCGAUAUUAUUUGAUCCUCUGUUCGGCUUUUCUUUGUGAACACCGAACAAAGCAUCAGGGGCUACUAUCUAUGCUGUAAUAUUUCUACUACAUUUUAAAACACUUACCCCAAAGCCUGUUAGAAGGCUAGCACAGGCUUCAGUCAAUCCGCUCUUGGCGGACUGAACCUUCUGGAUCACCGCACUCAUGAUAGUGCGGUGCUCCUCGUCGAUGAAAGCGCUGCAAAGCGCUUCCAGCAGAUUGUCCGGCGCCUCUGGAUGGACAGAGGUCACCGGCACAGGCGUCUUGCCCCUCUUAGAAGGAGGCCGCCUGCCCGAGCCCGAAACCGCUGGAGGGUCCGGCGCGGUGUUCGGCUGAGGGCCGAACUCGGAGCUCUCAGGGGCCCUGUCCCCUCGGCUCCCGAAGUCCGGAAGGUCGCCUUGAGGCGCCUCCAGGACUGUCUCCCCUCGACCCGGUGCCUCUUGAGACAGCACCUCAGCGUCGUCAGCAGGAUGAGGGGAGGUGGCAGUCAGGACUGGAUCGCUAUACAUGUCCGACGAGCCCAGGGAGCCGUCCGAUGAUACAUCGAUGCUGGUUCGCGGCGGCCUGCAUAAUCAUGUUCGGCGUUAGGGAAAGCAGUGCGACAAAGGAAUGCUACGAGUUACUCUGAUAUCCGAAUACUUACGAUCUCCCCAGGGGCUUGGCCCUAGGAAACCACUCGUCUUUGUCUUCGUCAGCGGCGGUGGAGCUGUCCGGAAGGAGAGUCCUUCCCUUCUUGGACCCUACGGCCCCCGCAGUUAGGGCGGCCUUACUUUUAUUAUCUCCCCCUGCAGGAGGGGGAGCAUCUUCUUCUUCUUCCUCGUCUUCGGGGGAGGAGUGCGUCGCAGAGUCAUCGGGCGGUGAGUCCGACGACGCCUGGCGUCGGGAACUCUUUCGGGUUCCCUUGGCCUUCUUGGUCUUCUCCGGCAUCGUAUAAGGAGCCAAAGUCAGCAUCUUCGCUAGAAGUGCGUCUGCUGGGCCUUCGGGCAAAGGAGCCGGACAAUCAAUCUGUCCGGCCAUCUCCUGCUAGUCCUGUCAAAGGUAGGGGAGUUUAGAUCCUGCAUGGAGUCAACCUAUAGAAAAUAAGUAUCCUGCAAGAGGUAAAGCAGCUUACCGCUUUGGCUUGGUGCUUCGCGCUGAAUCCACGAUCCUCGGUAAUGGGAGGGGGGACCUCGGCGCUUUUGAACAGCACCCUCCAGGCAUCUUCGUGAGUUGUGUCGAAAAGCCUGUUCAGAGUUCGGUGUCGCGUCGGGUCGAACUCCCACAAGUUGAACUCCCGUUGUUGGCACGGGAGAAUCCGGCGGUGGAGCAUGACCUGGACCACGUUGACAAGUUUGAGCUUCUUGUUCACCAUGUUUUGAAUACAUGUUUGGAGUCCGGUCAGCUCUUCCGAACUACCCCAGGACAGGCCCUUCUCUUUCCAGGAGGUGAGCCGCAUGGGGAUGCCAGAUCAGAACUCGGGGGCUGCUGCCCAUACAGGGUCGCGCGGCUCGGUGAUGUAGAACCACCCCGAUUGCCACCCCUUAUGGUUUCCACAAAGGAGCCCUCGAGCCAUGUUACGUUGGGCAUCUUGCCCACCAUGGCGCCUCCGCACUCCACCUGGCGGCCCCCCACCACCUUCUGCUUGACAUUGAAGGUCUUCAACCAUAAGCCGAAGUGGGGCUUGAUGCGGAGGAAGGCCUCGCACACGACAAUAAACGCCGAGAUGUUGAGGAUGAAGUUCGGGGCCAGAUCGUGAAAAUCCAGGCCAUAAUAGAGCAUGAGCCCCCGGACGAAUGGAUGGAGAGGGAAUCCCAGUCCGCAAAGGAAAUGGGUGAGGAAUACUACCCUCUCAUGGGGCCUGGGGUGGGGAUGAGCUGCCCCUCAUCUGGGGGCCGGUGCGCGAUGUCGUCGGGCAGGUAUCCGGCUCUCCUCAGCUUCUUGAUGUCUCCCUCCAUGACGGAGGAGACCAUCCACCCGCCUCCCGCUCCGGACAUGGUUGGAGAAGGUUGAGGUGGGAAGUGUGGACUUGGGCGCUAGAGCUCGAGUGUGCGAAAACGGAUGAGCAAAGGAGGAAGAAGGCGUGGAUAGGAAGGUGAAUCCUUAUCCCUUUAUAUGGGCGGACGAAACUAAGUGUUCCCACUUGCCUGGUAAAACUCGCUUAUCCACCAAGCACUGUAAUUGAUGGCGCAGUUGGGUUACCCACGCCCAUAUUGAUGAGAAUCCCGUAAUAAGGGGACACGAUCUCUGCUUUGACAAGACGUGUCAAAAAACUGCCUCGCGUUAUGUGCGGGGCUGGUUAAAGGGAACGGUUUGAAUAAUCACCGGGCCAUGACAUAACGUCAUACUGUCAAGACAAGUCAGCAAAUUAGAAUUGCGAAAAUAUUAUUCUCUCUACGGUGGUAUGUGGAACUUAUUUUGCAGGGUCGGACACUAUCCUCAUUUUCAAGUUCUUUUGUGAUGUAUUCGGAGAAGGAACCCGCCUUGCAAUGCCGAAGACAAUACUGCGCGCCGGACUCAUCGUCAUUGAAGCCUGGUUCAGGAGCUACUGAGGGAGUCCUGGAUUAGGGGGUCUCCGGACAGCCGGACUAUCUCCAUUGGCCGGACUGUUAGACUAUGAAGAUACAAGAUUGAAGACUUCGUCUCGUGUCCGGAUGGGACUCUACUUGGCGUGGAAGGCAAGCUAGGCAAUACGGAUAUGGAUAUCUCCUCCUUUGUAACCGACCUUGUGUAACCCUAACCCUCUCCGGUGUCUAUAUAAACCGAAGGGUUUUAGUCCGUAGCACAACAACCACAACAUACAAUCAUACCAUAUGCUAGCUUCUAGGGUUUAGCAUCUCUGAUCUCAUGGUAGAUCUACUCUUGUACUACCCAUAUCAUCAAUAUCAAUCAAGCAGGACAUAGGGUUUUACCUCCAUCAAGAGGGCCCGAACCUGGGUAAAACAUUGUGUCCCUGCCUCCUGUUACCAUCCGGCCUAGACGCACAGUUUGGGACCCCUACCCGAGAUCCGCCGGUUUUGACACCGACAGGCGCCAUUGAGCUCUCCCCUCCCCACCUCUCUUCUCCGUCGGGAAUGGCUCAAGCAAACAAAGGGAUGAUCCUUGGAUCAUUUCCCGGCUUUGCCACAUGCAUUCGGUGAAUGGUUUUUGGUUUUACGCCCUGCGGUCCAAUCUCACCGGGCUAGGAUUUCAAGAUGGAGAUAGGCGAUCCGAGUUCAAGCACGAAUUCUGGUGAUAUCAAGGCAACGAUGAAGGCACGGGGGAUCUCAGAGGAGGAUAUCGAUUACGUCAUGGUGGAGGAAGAAGAAGCAAUAUCGGAGGAGGCAAUCCAUUGGAUGGCCAUAGCAAGGGUGCACAUGGUGAAGCCGUAUUGCCAAUAUUGUUUUACAGAAACAUGAGGGUCGCAUGGGACUUGGACAAGGAAGUAAAGAUGAUCGUUGAAUGACAAUUUGUACACUCUCCAAUUCAUGUGCUUGAGUGACUAGGAAAGAAUGAUGGGGGAGGGGCCAUGGACUUUGUGAUGGAUGUUGUCUCCCUACCUCCUUUGUCCUUGACACCCUGGAAUUUGGAUGCAAAUCCAUGAUCUUCCAUAUGGGUAUUUCCAUUGAUCAGAUCCCUAGCAGGGAAGGUAGGGGAAUUUGUGUAUGCUGAGCCAAAGUCAUGGGAUUUUAAAGGUAAUUUCUUCAGGUUGCAUGUCAAGAUCAACGUAAACAAGCCACUCAUGGAUGAGGUGACACUUGUCAACGGGAAAAUGCAUGUGGUAUUUCUGGUAAAAUAUGAACACUUCCCGGAUUGGUGUGCAGUGUGCUUCUACUGGGUCAUGUGUACAAGGAGUAUGGUGAGGGACUUCACCUUCUCGUAGCUCUAGUUUUUACAAACUUGUGCACCUCUUGGUUUAGAGGUGUUGGUCGUGGCUUAGGCGGCGGCAAAGGCCAAUGACAUGGACGUGGUGGUGGAUGCUCUGGUCAUGGUGCAGGGAGGAACUCCAAGGAUGGUGGUCCGGACGAGGUUAUGGAUGGUUACGAGGACCUUGAUGCAACCAUGUAAAGCCGAUCACAACAAAAAAUGCACUUCUGAACUUGCAGCUCCAAUAGACCGUGCAUCUAUUACUGCGGCUACAGCAACACUUGAUAAUGGUGUGACUAAGGGCAGCAUCCUAGCUCUUCCACCGCCAAAGAUACCCUAGAGCAUGUCGUCAAAGCGUGAUCUCAAGAGAACAAAGACAUGUAUGAGUGCGGACAAGAGUGCACCAAAAAUAGCAUCUCAAGGCAAGACUAAUGAAGCAAAGUUGGUGACCUCCCAUGAGGAGAGUCGUCAAUCCCAAUGAGUGUCCUCUGCUGGAAGCGGUGUGGGCAAGCCAGCGACAGUUCGAGGGCUUCAAGACCUAGCAAUUUGCCCCAACGGUGUUAUGCAUUGUAGAAACGCAAAUUUCAAAAGCAUGCAUCGAAGGUUUAGCCGGUAUGUUAGGCUUUGAUAAAUGAUAUGUUGUUAGUAGUAAUGGCCGAAGUGGAGGCUUAGGAUAGUUUUGGAAAAAAUGAUAUAAACAUUGAGGUUCUUGGUUACAUAGAGUAUCACAUAGAUGCUAAAGUCUCCAUCGGAGGUGACAUAGACUAGAGACUCCUAUUUCUACGGAGAGGCUCGAACUAGUGCAAGGUAUAGAACAUGGGAUCUAAUGAAAUUGUUGGUUACAACCACCUGUUUAGCUUGGUUGUGUGUCGGUGAUUUCAAUAAGGUUUUGAGAACUGAUGUACAUGUUGGUAUUGGUCAAAAACGUGUAAGCCAGAUCGUCGGCUUCAGAGAUGCGGUCAACGUGUGUGGUCUCAUGGACCUCGGAUACCAGGAGAGGAGCUAGAAGUUCGAGAAAAAAGUCAUUGGUGGCUCGUUUUGCCACGUAUGUGUGGACUGGGCGCUAGCUAACCCUUCAUGGAUGGGUCAUUUUCCCCUGGAGUUUCUUAGCCAAGGUACUGUAGUUUGAUCGUUCACUCUACAAUCUAGAGGGAAGAGGGGUCGAGCGAUGUCUAUGUAUGAACUUUACUGGGAGAAGCACAGAAGCUUCCAUGAGUCUCUUGGUCCGCAGCGAAAUGACAUGUCCAAAGCAAAAUCUGCCAUUCAGACGAGUAAUACACAUUACUGCAGAUAUCUAGACCUGUUCAUCAGUUGUGUUAGGACUAAUCGGAAAGUUGUUGUAGCUCCCGGGGGUCCCGACCCCCUCUUAUCCUACCGUCUGGAGCCGCUGAGAUUCGUGCAGUGUUCUGUCUUACGGCAGAACAUUUGCAGCUGCUGCAUGCUUAUUCUGUUGCAUACUACUCCCUCCUUCUGAAUUACUUGUCGCAGAUAUGAAUAUAUCUAGAUGUAUUUUAGUUUUAAAUACAUUCAUUUCGGCGACAAGUAAUAUAAAACGGAGGAAGUACUUAUCUAGGCCAUUUGACUAUUUUAAUUAUAGGACAAGUAGUCUAUAGGAGUAGGCAGCUGGUCAUAGGGGUAGACAUGCGCUCUCUGUUUCCCCACACUUCAAUUCUCUCUCCCAUUAAAGUUUCUGACAUGCAUGCACAUCAGUCUUUCUCCAUAACAAGCACAAGUCAAUCUCUAUUUCUCACGUGCAUGCACAAGCACAAGUCAGUCUCUCUCAGGUCUCUCACAAGCUCUCUCUAAUUAAAAAUAUUAGACAAAAGCUCUCUCUCACAGUCUCACUAAAAGGUGUGGCUACGCAUGCGUUUUUCGUAGAGUCGGAUCAGUGCAUCUAGCUGAGAGAGAAGUGACAAUGAGUAGAGAGAGAAAGAGAGAGUUGGAGGUAAAGAUGACUGGUCACAUCUGUCAAUGCUAGCUACACAUCCUACAAACAGUAGGUGGCUAGACCUAGUGAUGCAUGAUAUGUGGCGCUCCAAACACGGUAAAAUUGCUGCAUAUACAAAAGUACGAGGUGAGAAGUCCAUCGCUGCACGCAGCGGCAGCUGCACGCAGCGCAUCCACGGUUGGCGGAGCGUCGCGAUUAGGACUAGCUGGAAGUGCUACUUCGAGUAUAGAGCGCCGCCAACUAGCGUAAUGUUUCGUAUUCGUUGUAUCCAUUGUACUAUGCACUGACAGCCGGACUGACUCAUAUGCUGCAAGCACUGCACAUGUAUAGGCGAAAGGACACAAUAUUACCGUUGCAUCGAACACUGUAUAACGUAAACACUUUACCCAGCUGCAUGUAUUUAAGGCUCAUGCACCAGCCGCUGCGUGCAGGACCGAUCGUUUUGCACGUUCUGCUUCAAACACGCACACAAGCACCCCGAGUUGUCGUGAUCCGUCGACGUCGCCGUGCCGCAAUGUCCCGGAGCUCGUCUUCCGCUCAUCGUCUCCGGACACCCCUGCCCCCGCUGCCAUUGAUCCUGUGCCCGAGGUGUGCUGGGACGAGGACUAGAUGGUUUGUCUCCGGGAUAGACCGGAAUCCCGGCGUCCGUUUUUACAAAUGCCCGAAUCAGGGAGUAAGUCUGUUAUCUGUACACCCAUCCAUCAGAUGUUGCAGUUUUCUUCUGUUUGCUUUGUAUUUUCUUGUUCAUCAUUCAGUUUUCAGUUUUGAAACUGACACAGGACGGAGGCCCGUGCAACUUUUGGUUGUAGGAGGACCAGUACGCGUUCUUCAUCACCGGCGUUGGCAUCAACCUUCUCAUCGAGGCGGUCGGAGGUGAAAGCAACGUGAUGUUUGGUAUCGGACGCGCCAUGAAAGAUGUACAUUUUUUUAGUCAAUGGAAAAUGACCAGUGUACAUAAUGCCGGGGCACGCGUACUACUGUAACCAAACACCGGGUCAUGAUUAAGAAAACGAGUAAGGACCACUUUCUGCCAAGCCUGGUCCAAAAUAUAUUCUCUCCCCCACUCUACAUUCAGACUGCUGCACGAAAUUCACCAAACUUCUACAGUUGGAUUAUACUGAAGUAUAGCUUUCCCUUUGCAAUGUUUGAACACUCAAAAAUGUCACCAUCCCAACAGAGAAACAGCGACGAGAAUAAUAUUGGACAGAAAGGACCUAAUCAUGCAACUCCGGUGGUUAUUUUUACUAGCAAUUCAAGCUCUUUUGUCAAUGAAAAUUAACCAGGAAAAUUAACCAGCGACGAGAAUAAGAUUGUAGAAUUCAUACGCCUCUGGUAGAGAAUCUAAAUUGUGUCAAGCGCCAGGUUGACAACUACCGCAGUCCCCCUGUCAGCGUGUAUGGCAGCUUCAAGUGCCGGCAUACGAUCAACCGCCGCCGCCCGCUCAUCUGGUGCUUGCGGCCCUCUUGUCCUGCCAACAUAAGCAGAAGGAAAACAAGAUAAACAGAAAGCAUGUAUGUAGUUGGGAGAACCAUUUUUUCCUCUAAUUUUACAUUUAUGAACAUUGACAAAUAAAGAUUGUACUGCCUGUGUGCCACCCACUAUGCUUACUACACGAAAUUCACGGGUUUGUGGCAAUAGAAUCAACCUAUGUAAAUUUGACCAGGGACAUUAGCUGCCCUCGGACGAUUUUUCUGAAAAUCAACUAGAGUAUGCUUGGGCAUUUUUACGGUUCGAGCUGGGAAAAAACAAAUACAAACAAGCAUAAUGCACCAAUUCGGCAACUUGCUCCUACUAGACAAGAAUCAGAUUGCUAGAAAAAAAUCCCAAGCCAGCGAAUCCUCAUAGAGAAGCUUCAACGCGACGGCGCGCGAUCACUGCUACCGCAUCGCCGAUCGUCUGCCGCCCGUGGCCUUGUAACUAACUAAUUACCACCAAAAAUCAGAAGAAACUUAAGGGAAAACAAAGGCACGCCUGGGAGAAGCUCUUUUCCCCCUCUUUGCAUUGUACAUUGGACCACAAACUAAAUUGGAACAGG